rnacentral:rRNA from 1 species
AACGUAGGGUGCAAGCGUUGUCCGGAAUUAUUGGGCGUAAAGAGCUCGUAGGCGGUUUGUCGCGUCUGCUGUGAAAACUCGGGGCUUAACCCCGGGCCUGCAGUGGGUACGGGCAGACUAGAGUGCGGUAGGGGAGACUGGAAUUCCUGGUGUAGCGGUGAAAUGCGCAGAUAUCGGGAGGAACACCGGUGGCGAAGGCGGGUCUCUGGGCCGAUACUGACGCUGAGGAGCGAAAGCGUGGGGAGCGAACAGG